rnacentral:lncRNA from 1 species
UCACCGUCACCACCGCAGCCGCCGCCCCUCACCCAACGACAACGACGAUGGGCAAGGCCGGGAAGAAGGCCACGAAGAAGGUGGCACCCAUCAAGCCUGGGGGCACAGUGUACCAGUGCAAGAUUUGCCAGCUGGAGUUCAAGGAAACCCUGCUGGAGUUAAGCCUGCACCACGGCACCUGCCUCGCCAAGAGGGAGCUGGAGGCCCAGAAAGCCCGAUCCCAGCACGCGCAGCAGAUCCGAGGUGAGCGACCCUACUACCGAUCCUACUCACAGUAAUAUAUCGAAAUUACACAUGGGGUUGAAACCUGGCUGGCGACCAGCUCGUUGCCCGCAGGUUUGGCGAAAUCUUGUGUCAAUUCUACUCUUUUUUUUAUUUUGCAUUCCAUAAAAUUUAUGGAUUUACUACAUCAUGAGUCUUAAACAUCCUUUUGCUUGUGGUUCCAAUAAGUAGGCUUCUGAAGUGCAUAGCUAACAGUGGUGAAUCUGAAACUUGGGAUUGAUAACAGUUGUGCUAAUAGGAAUAAUAGGAAUAGAUGGCCUACGCUUCCCAUGGCCUGGCCUCCUGAAAAUUAAGAGCAUGUCAGAAUUGGAAUAAAAGUUACUCAUGAGAUGUAGAAAUUUGAAAGUACCAAAUACCAAAUGGGGUAAGCAAGGAAAGAAAUUUAGGGGCCCAGUUUCCCAAUAAUCUUGCCUAGCCUGGCAUAGCAAGCGGCGGCAAGGCUUCCAGCAGCGAUCUGCUGCCGUGGCGGCACAUUUGACCAAGCAUCUACUUUGCACUGCAAGGACCUUGAGAUUCCCGAGCACUUCGGUAUUAGUAGUAACAUCAGGCAUCUGUAGCAACUGCUACGGGACCAAUAUGCCUGCAAAAAACAUUUUGUUCUGGUGCGGAUAGGGUCGACACGUCAAAUUUCACCUAACCUCAACUCAGUGGGCCUCAAAACACAUCAAGGGCUGACGAAAAGGAUAGACCUGGCCCAUACAGCCCAACAACAAUCCUAACUCAACUCACACACCAACCCAGCUCACACCCUGUCCGCUCCCAUCGCAGCAGCCGGCCCUCACUGCAGCCGCCGCCCCUCACCGUCACCACCACAGCCGCCGCCCCUCAACCAACGACAACGACGAUGGGCAAGGCCGGGAAGAAGGCCACGAAGAAGGCGGCACCCAUCAAGCCUUGGGGCACAGUGUACCAGUGCAAGAUUUGCAAGCUGGAGUUCAAGGAAACCCUGCUGGAGUUAAGCCUGCACCACGGCACCUGCCUCGCCAAGAGGGAGCUGGAGGCCCAGAAAGCCCGAUCCCAGCACGCGCAGCAGAUCCAAGGUGAGCGACCCUACUACCGAUCCUACUCACAGUAAUAUAUCGAAAUUACACAUGGGGUUGAAACCUGGCUGGCGACCAGCUCGUUGCCCGCAGGCACGGCGAAAUCUUGUGUCAAUUCUACUCUUUUUUUUAUUUUGCAUUCCAUAAAAUUUAUGGAUUUACUACAUCAUGAGUCUUAAACAUCCUUUUGCUUGUGGUUCCAAUAAGUAGGCUUCUGAAGUGCAUAGCUAACAGUGGUGAAUCUGAAACUUGGGAUUGAUAACAGUUGUGCUAAUAGGAAUAAUAGGAAUAGAUGGCCUACGCUUCCCAUGGCCUGGCCUCCUGAAAAUUAAGAGCAUGUCAGAAUUGGAAUAAAAGUUACUCAUGAGAUGUAGAAAUUUGAAAGUACCAAAUACCAAAUGGGGUAAGCAAGGAAAGAAAUUUAGGGGCCUAGUUUCCCAAUAAUCUUGCCUAGCCUGGCAUAGCAAGCGGCGGCAAGGCUUCCAGCAGCGAUCUGCUGCCGUGGCGGCACAUUUGACCAAGCAUCUACAUUGCACGGCAAGGACCUUGAGAUUCCAGAGCACUUCGGUAUUAGUAGUAACAUCAGGCAUCUGUAGCAACUGCUACGGGACCAAUAUGCCUGCCAAAAACAUUUUGUUCUGGUGCGGAUAGGGUCGACACGUCAGAUUUCACCUAACUUCAACUCAGUGGGCCUCAAAACACAUCAAGGGCUGACGAAAAGGACAGAACUGGCCCAUACAGCCCAACCACAAUCCUAACUCAACUCACGCACCAACCCAGCUCACACCCUGUCCGCUCCCAUCGCAGCAGCCGGCCCUCACUGCAGCCGCCUCCCCUCACCGUCACCACCGCAGCCGCCGCCCCUCACCCAACGACAACGACGAUGGGCAAGGCCGGGAAGAAGGCCACGAAGAAGGCGGCACCCAUCAAGCCUGGGGGCACGGUGUACCAGUGCAAGAUUUGCAAGCUGGAGUUCAAGGAAACCCUGCUGGAGUUAAGCCUGCACCACGGCACCUGCCUCGCCAAGAGGGAGCUGGAGGCCCAGAAAGCCCGAUCCUAGCGCGCGCAGCAGAUCCGAGGUGAGCGACCCUACUACCGAUCCUACUCACAGUAAUAUAUCGAAAUUACACAUGGGGUUGAA